rnacentral:lncRNA from 1 species
UCAUUUCCUUAUUCUUCUUCCUCCCUGCUUCUUUGUUCUCCCCUUCCCGCUGCAACUCAGGUGACCACAGCAAUACGCAUGUGCAAGGCGCGAAACACUGCAGACCCAGCACGAACUUUCAGCCAACCCCUCCUUGGACGUCUGCCACCCACAAGACCAGCCUAUCACCCAUGGACACGUUCCCUUCCCUCUCUAUAUAUCCUCGUGUUUUACCCCCAGUAAACGAGGCUUGAUCAGAAUCCUGUCUUGCCUCCAUUCUUCGUGUCUCUUGUCCCCGUCUCUGUGUCAUUUGCUUUGUUUCUAGAUCCCCGAGCUUGGUCGUACGGGAGACGUCCUCUUAUAUUGGCCUGGCCUGCGGGCGGGUCCGGGUCAAAUGCCAUGCAACCAUCGCCACCACCGGGUACCAGGCUUUUCAUCACCCCAACCAGGAACUGUACCCACUGAGCAGUAACGCCCCUUCCUGCCUGGCCCCGGAGCGCCUCCCGUCUGCUCUGUGCCUCGGGAAGGUGCCCGUUCCGGCCAUGCCCUACCAGGGGAGAUGCACACUCUGCCCUCUCGUGUCUGGCUUCUUCAACUUCACGCAAGGCUUCUGGGGGCGACUGCGCGGUCCGGGUCAGAACCCCAUUCCUUCCUAGGCCGAGUGACCAUCCCCCGCUGGGUGGACCCCAUUGGUUGACCCAUGCACCUGUCAAGGCUCACCUGGCUGCCUCCACCAUUUGGCUGCUGUGAGCGGGGCCGCGAUGAUCGGUGGUGUUCCAGUGUCUUCAGGAAUGCAAAGCCAGGGCAGGCCCAGGGGCACUGCCCACCGGGCACAGGUGUGUAACCGGACUUUUGGAAGGUUAUGGCACAACAGAGCGCCUCCUCCCACCUCAGCCCGGCGUGCGCCCCCCGCCUGCCACGCAAGCAGCCACGCUGGCACAUCGCUGGCAGGAGCAGAAGCUGCGUGCCUCGCCCACGCUGUCCGAACCCGGCGCCACAGCCAAACGACCGUUUGCCGGCACCCACGUCCAGUUCUGAACCGCGACAUGGCGUCUUGCCUCCCAGGAGGACAGCCUUCCACCGGGACCCCUCCUCUGUGCAGGGUGAGUGACAUU